GAUAAGAUGGCUGAGAUUUAGGCAAUAAAUUGUAAAUUUAUUAACGGAAAUAUUUCCUUUUAUCA
rnacentral:tRNA from 1 species